GCGCCCGUAGCUCAGCUGGAUAGAGCGCUGCCCUCCGGAGGCAGAGGUCAGAGGUUCGAAUCCUCUCGGGCGUA
rnacentral:tRNA from 1 species